rnacentral:rRNA from 1 species
GACGAACGCUGGCGGCGUGCCUAAUACAUGCAAGUCGAACGCAGUGGGGACGGGUGAGUAACACGUGGGUAACCUCCCAUCAGAGGGGAUAACACUUGGAAACAGGUGCUAAACCGAUACUGAUGGAUGGACCCGCGGUGCAUUAGCUAGUUGGGGAGGUAACGGCUCGCCAAGGCCACGAUGCAUAGCCGACCGGAGAGGGUGAUGGGCCACACUAGGACUGAGACACGGCCCAGACUCCUACGGGAGGCGGCGGUAGAGAAUCUUCGGGAGUGGACGAAGGUCUAACCGAACGACGCCGCGUGAGUGAAGAGGGUUUUCGGAUAGUGAGACUCUGUUGUUAGGGAAGCGGUGUCUAACCAAAAAGCCACGGCUAACUACGUGCCAGCAGCCGCGGUAAUUC